rnacentral:rRNA from 1 species
GACGAACGCUGGCGGCGUGCUUAACACAUGCAAGUCGAACGAUGAACCGGAGCUUGCUCUGGGGAUUAGUGGCGAACGGGUGAGUAACACGUGGGCAACCUGCCCCUGACACCGGGAUAACCAUUCGAAAGGAUGGCUAAUACCGGAUACGACCACUUCGGGCAUCCGAUGGUGGUGGAAAGGAUUCUGGUCUGGGAUGGGCCCGCGGCCUAUCAGCUUGUUGGUGGGGUAAUGGCCUGCCAAGGCGACGACGGGUAGCCGGCCUGAGAGGGCGACCGGCCACACUGGGACUGGGACACGGCCCAGACUCCUACGGGAGGCAGCAGUGGGGAAUAUUGCGCAAUGGGCGAAAGCCUGACGCAGCGACGCCGCGUGAGGGACGAAGGUCUUCGGAUUGUAAACCUCUUUCAGCAGGGAUGAAGCGAAAGUGACAGUACCUGCAGAAGAAGCACCGGCUAACUACGUGCCAGCCGCCGCCGUAAGAC